rnacentral:lncRNA from 1 species
AGGACAUAUUUAAUUUCCAAUGCGUGUAGCUACGUGUCGUUGAGUUUGGAUCAUCUCAUUCUUAUGUUUGGCCUUUCUAACACACAAGUUCACAGCAUUGUGAGUAAGAUGAUGAUCACAGAGGAAUUGCAAGCAAGCUGGGACCAACCUGCAAAGUGUAUAAUAUUCCAUAGUAUGGAGCAAACAAGAGUGCAGACCCUCUCUUUCCAGCUUUCGGACAAACUCAAUGUUCUUGCUGAUAGCAAUGAAAGAGCAUAUGAGGUCCGAACAGGUGGUAGUUUGGAUGGGCUUCCUUCAAGACGGCGGACAGAUGGUCAGGAUUAUUCUGGAAAAUGGCAAGAUAAUAUCUUCACAUCACAAGGAAGGCAAGGUGGCGGUGGAGGACGUACAGGUUAUACUGGAAGAUUUGGGGGCUCUACACAAUCUUCGGUGGGAGUAUUCUCAAGGGACAAGGGAGUUGGAGGAGGGUAUGGAAUUCGGGGCACCGGUGGUGGUGCUCGGAAUCAAGAUGGAAGACAUUCAUAUCAAACAGGAUUGUCUAUGAAAGGAAGGCAGGCAGAUGCUUCAAGUCGUAUGGUUAGUCUUAGCAGGGGUGACAGAUUUUAAUGAAUGACUGUCUGACUUGGUAUUUUUUGCUUAUUGGCAAUUUUCUUAUAGCAUCGAUGAGGAUUAAAUCAUGAUCUUGAUAUAUUUUGUUUCUUCAAAUUAAACCAGUUUUAAGUUAUUGAUAAGUCAUGAUGAUGUUCUUGAUAUUAGAUUUAAUAAUUAUAAACUUUUAAUACUAUUCUGUUUUAUGUUGAAGUUCAAUUAUUCAUGCUUGUGUGAUUGUGUUUACAUUUUGCAUUAGCUUUUAAAUCUCAGUUUAGUUAUUUUUUUAGCGAGCUCUAUUGAAGUUCUUUUAUAUUGCAGUAACAUAUGGUAGCAGCUCUUCGUCGCCAUAUCAAUCCUGCAAUCAUUUAUCUGNNNNNNNNNNNNNNNNNNNNNNNNNNNNNNNNNNNNNNNNNNNNNNNNNNNNNNNNNNNNNNNNNNNNNNNNNNNNNNNNNNNNNNNNNNNNNNNNNNNNGUUUCUUCAAAUCAAACCAGUUUUAAGUUCUCGAUCAUAAUGCUGUUCUUGAUAAAAGAUUCUAUAAUUAUAAAGAUUUUUAUACAAUUCUAUUUUAUUUUGAAGUCGAAUAAUUUAUGUUUGUGUUUAAAAGAUUGUUGUUUUGAUUCUCUUCAAUUUUUGUUGUUUGGAUGGUGGAUGGGUUAUCAAUACGUUCUUCAUCUUCCACAAAUAUUGAUUUGUUUUGGUUUAAUUCUUAUUCAGGACAUAACAAGUUAUCAUCCUCAAAUACAAAUACUGAUGAGUUGAAUUUAUUUAUUUAUUUUAUAUAUGAACCAGUCUUCAUAUUCUACAAGUCCCUGCACACCAGAAUUAAACACACCAAACUACUCUUGAGUCUUGACCAAAGACAAGAGAUGUUAUUUACUGAUUUUAUUUAAGUACAACAUCAUGAUACUAAUCAACUACUAACAGUUGACAAAUGAGUAGCUAACUGUCAUAUGCCCCAUUUGAUAGCCAUUGCCAUCAGUAUCAAUUGCUUUAAAUGCAUUCCAAUCAAGAUCGAGGCCGCCGUUGGCGCAUUGGUCCACUAUCCUCACGGUGAUCGAAUUCCCUGUCCUAGUGUUGGUCACCUGCAGGGAUUUGAUGAGAAAUUGAAAAGAGGGUGGGAGAUAAAGAAGCAUGUAUAGAGCUAAAAAAAUCGACAUACUCUCAGACAUCGACCGCAAGAGGCUUGGCCACGCGGUCCAACAGGACCACAGAAUGCGGUCCAAUCAUAUUGUUUACGCCAUGAAAGAGGUUUAUCAGCAUCCCAUGUAGAACAAUAUGCACUGACUGCCCUCAGGUUCCAGUUGUUCUGUUGGGGAUAGUAGUAGUGGUAUGUUGCCCGGAUGUUUGAAGCAGACUGUGCAGUUGUUAAAACUGCCAUGCAACUGAUAGCUAAAAAAACUGCAACCACGGCAGCAGACCAAGUAACCUUCUUCUCCAUCAUCAUCCUCUGAUCGAUCUUCGAUCCUUGUAAUUAAUAUGAAUUGAGUGCCUCCCCUCCCACUGAUGACUGAUGUGGAAUUUAUAGGGUAGAAAAGUAGAAUUAGUCAUAUUAUUGGAAUGGAAAUUCUAAGCAUACUGCUGUUCCAAAUCGGAAACUCCAGUGAAUCAUAUUGAUGUUUUGUGAGAAGAAAAUUUGCAUUCUAAUGUUGUCAUGUUUCUAUUUGCCAUCUAAAUUUCUUUGGAUCUUUCAUUAUAAUAUUAAGGGCGGCUAUUAAUUGUUGUGGAAUUCUGGCAGGAGGGCCAUUAUCGAACAGUGAAGAUUGUAGAAAGAAUCUUGUGUUUUUGUAUUGCACGCUUCAACAUUUCCAUCUGACUUCACCAAUCCUCCCAAUCUGAUUUAAAAUUUCAGCAAGUCACUGUCAUAAAAAUUUAUCUAUGUAAAUUACCGAAUUACAUACAUCAUUUAUACUGCGUUGGCAUUUGAAUAUUUGAUCCACACACAAUAAUAAGUCUUACUGGACCAGAACCAAAUUGUUUGCAACUCUAGUAAUAAUUAUAUUGACCCAUAAAAAUUAUUUUACGGGCUUUAGAGUUGGGCUGAGUCGAGCCUGGGGUGACCUGAGUCCGGUUUGUUUAUUAAAUAAGCAUCCAUUUUUUAGAGCUUGUUUAGAGCUUCAAUGUCCUCCCAGGAUGUGCCUUCCUGACGCUCUGCUCUACUGGACUUAAGGUUGUUGGAUUUUGCGCCCCAUUCGAUAAAUGACCCUAUAAUCAACAAUUGCUAAAGGAAAUAUUAUGGGUUCAUUUCUUACAACAAGAAUUGAAAUCGUCUCUACUUCUCUCAUGGUGGUCCGGUGAAUUUCUUGAGCCUUGAAACAUGAAAUAUUUAUUUGACCGACAUUAGGAAGCUAUCAUACCAUGUAAAGAUUAGAAGAUAGAAGAAGAGUAGGACGAAUUGAAGAAGAUUAUAGAACACAUUUAUAUAGAUAGAAUACGCGAUCUGAACUAGAAGAAAAGGUAACUGUCAGUGCCAUGAUUUUGACAAUCUAUUCUAUUCACUAUAACAACGAUCACUGACUUGUUUUGAACCUUGGAAAGAUUUGUGAUAAAAUCAACAUAAAUGAAUAUUGAUGAUACCCCUGGUCCAUCAGACCAGGCUCAUCCCCGACCAGGCUUACUUGACCAGUGAAAGAAGGCCCGGUCCAGUAGGAAAGUGUAUAAAUACCCCUAGGGGUUGGUUGGAUGUAGAAGGGGAGAGAAACAUUGAGAGUACACUUGUAAUAGAGAUUGUUUGGUAUAUACUCUGUACCACACCAUCAAAUAUAAAUUCAGAUAUCCUUAACCAUGCCUUUCUACUAAAAUUGAGUAGUGAUUCUUCUGAUGAUUCUUUUCAAUCAAUUCAGAUGAGUUUCUUUUUAAGUGAUCUUUGCUAGUGAAAUUCAGAACCUUGUUAGAGCUUUCAUUCAACUUCUUUGCUUCUUCUGAUUUCUAAUUCUCUUUAUUUCUUCAAUUAAGGAUCCUUUGAUAUUAUCAGUCUUAUUUAUGAACAAAACCUCCUCCUCUUCCUCCUCGUGACACCUGAAGGUAAUGAGAUGCUCCUCUUACAAUAAAUUACCUGGAGUCUUAAGUUACACACAUUAGUUUCCACUGUAAAAAACUUAGUGAAAUCAGGGAAUUUUAAAAUUGGGGCUUCAAUCAUGGCUAAUUCAGACCCCAAAAAAUGAAUUUUUCUUUAGGAGAUCAGUCAUAGGAGAAUCAAUUUCAACAAAUCCUCUUGUGAAUCUUCUGUAAUACCUUGUGAGGCGGCCUAGAAAUUCUCUUAAUAAUUUCAGAGAUUUAACGAAAGACCAAUCCACCAUAGUUCUAAUAUUUUGUUGGAUCAGGGUUUACUCCUUUCUUACUGGUAAUUAUAUGCCCUAAAAAUUACAUAGAUUCUUUGCCAAAAGAACAUUUGGAUUUCUUUGUCAAUAGAUGAUUCAUUUUUAACACUUCAAAAUUUUUUGUAGAUGCUUGAUGUGAUCAUUAAGUGAGGUACAAUAAAUCAAAAAUAUAUAUAUCAUCAAAGAAGACUAUCAUAACUUUUCUCAAAUAUUUAUGGAAAACUCUGUUUAUUACCGUCUGAAAAUAUGUCGGUGCAUUGGAUAGCCUAAACUCUAAUCCUAACCCAAAGGUUCACUAUUAUUUAUCCAAGAGAUCCCUUUCCAUACUCUUUGCCCUUCCACUCAAAUUUCAUACACAACUCCUUAUAAUUAGAUAUCACAUCGAAUUUGUUUAUAGUGAGCCGAACCUUUAUGCGUCAUCUUGCAUUGAAAUCACUCUCGAUCAACCUGCAAUUGUCAUCCUAUGAACAGUAUUAUGUCACUCACGCAAACUUAUAUUUGAACUUGUUAGAAUUAUAUAAUUAUGAUGUAUAUUAUCCAAGUAAUGAAAUGUAAUGCAAUAGUUUAUAUAUGAUAAUAUUUGAACUUGCUGAAAAGUAAAUGACAAUACAGAUUCGAGAAGAUUGAGAUGAUUGCAGGAUGUAGAUGUUGGAGAUGAUGAAGACGAUGAACAGAUCGGAUGGAUGAUCACCAGAUGAACAGAUGACUUGAUCAGAUGAUUCAGAGAGAGCAAGACAGAUUAUUGAAGAAGACAAAUUGCUGAAGCCAAAUUCCAGAAGAUUGAUUUGGAUUGCGAGACAUAUUCAAAGAGAAUUACUUGAUGGCAAAACCUUAAUGUUUGUCUUGGGUUAAUUCUGAUUUAUAGGAGGUUUGCUCCAACGACUAAAUUAGUUUAACUGGUGGUUGGUGUAAUCAAUGUUGGAUUUAAGGUAAUUGAUGGAUUAGGAAAAGAUAUUGGACUUGGUUAAAGUUCCUAGUUAGUAUAGGGUUUAAAUGUAAUUUUCCUAAUAUAAUUCUAAUAGAACUACGUCCAUUCAGAGUUCAGACCAAUCCUGACCCGACUCGGCCUGGUCCGAGGGAUAGAAGAAAAUCCAUAAAUAUCAAUCUUUUAAAAGGAGAAGAUGAAGCACUGAAUCGAUCUGCUACCAAGGCUCGCGGUGGUGCGAGGUGAUGCCGGAGACUCUGGAGUCCACGACGCGCGCUCUACGUCAAAUACCUGCAAGUAGAAACUAGGUGAUUCUAGUGAGAAUCGGAGAGUUUCUUAGUGAUGCUCUGGUGAGAGUGGAGCUUGUGUUGUGCCUUUGAGUGUCCCCUUGGGACCCUUUUUAUAGGGUCUCGGAGGGCGUGAUCAAAGGCGGACAUCGCGCCUAUGGUCAUAUAUGGAAACAUUUAUGACGUUGGCUGGCGGCGAGUAACGGUCGUAAGUCGGCGAUUCAGGUAUGAAAAUCGCCUAUUUAGGGCAAACUCGCCGAGUUUCCAGGGGCGAGAUGUGUAGUCUACCAUACUGCCGAUCUGGGCCCUAACUCGGCGAUUUGUCCCUAAAGUCGGCGACUUGGUAGUCCAAUCGUGACUUACGGGCUAACUCGGCGAUUUGGACGAUGAAUUUGUUCCGCACCGUGGGAGCUCUCCGGAGGUCCGGCGUAAAGCGACGGAACCCUAGUCCUUGUUGAAAAGCGUUGCUGGGAGUGACUGCCGUAAUUAGGCAUGUCUCACCAGUACUCCCCCCUGAAGAGAGCACAAGAAACAUGCUUGUAUAGCCAGUACCCCCCCCUCCAACCAAAGUUCAAUGUGUGAUCCGCAUCAAGGCCGAAGCGACAAGAUGAAAUCGAAUCAUUCCGCUCACAGUGACGUACUGAUUCUGUAUCCAUUAUGGCCUAAGCGACAAUAAUGGAUUGACUCUGUAGGGUCGAACCGACAGAAUCGAGUUCCAGGCCAACGGAACUACCUGUUUAUAGUCUAACCCUGAUCAAGAGCGACUGCACUGUGUUUAUCAAGGUCGGAGCGACAAGAUUAAUUCCGGCCGAAGCGACGGAACCUGAUUCAGGCCGAAGCGACAUAAUCGAGUUCUAGCCAAAGCGAUAGAACCGAGUUCUAGCCAAAGCGAUAGAACUAAUGUUUAUAGUCCACCCUGAUCAAGAGCGACUUUUAUGUCCGCAACGACGGUUACCCCCUCAUGGUCUAAAGCGGCAAGACGGGUUGAGACCAUUAAGACCAAAGCGACAGAAUGAUCUCUAGUCUAUCAAGGCAAAAGCGGCAGGAUAAAUUGACUCACUAUCAGAGUUUGAUUCUGGCCGAAGCGACAGAAUAAUACUUGCAAAAAAGAAAACAUCCUGCAAAACAACUAUAUCAGUCUAAGACGCAUAUUAUUAUUGACCAAUUGAACUUAUCGUGCGAUUUUACCUCUCGUGAUAUUCUUCUUUUGCUCGAACCAAUCCUAAUUGGUAAAUCUGGCCGAAGCGAUAAAUUUUACCGUGCUUAUUUUGACGACUCAAUUCUGUCCGGAGCGACAGAAGUGUCGGGAAAGCUUGUAAUACUCCCCCCUGAAAUUUGACGAUUUCCCGCCGAAGCGACAGAAAUGUCGGGAGAGCUUGUGAUACUCCCCCUCGAAGUCUGACGAUUUCCGGCCGGAGCGAUAGAAAUGUCGGGAGAGCUUGUGAUACCCCCCUCGAAAUUCGACGAUUUCCGGUCGGAGCGACAGAAAUGUCGGGAGAGCUUGUGAUACCCCCCCUCGAAAUUCGACGAUUUCCGGCCGGAGCGACAGAAAUGUCGGGAGAGCUUGUGAUGCUCCCUCUCGAGAUUCGACGAUUUCCCGCCGGAGCGACAGAAAUGUCGGGAGAGCUUAUGAUGCUCCCCCUCGAGAUUCGACGAUUUCCCGCCGAAGCGACAGAAAUGUCGGGAGAGCUUAUGAUACUCCCCCUUUAACACCUGCAUAAAAAUGUGUCGUAUUCUGGCUGAGGUGGUAGGAGUGUCGGAGAGAGUUUGUAAUACUCCCCUCGAAUUGUGACAACUUCUGGCCGAAGCGACAGAAGUGUCGUGGAGAGUUUGUGAUACUCCCUUUGGAAUGAGACGACUUCUAGCCAAGACGACAGAAGUGUUGAUGAGAGUUUAUGAUACUCUCCUCCAAAGAUGGGCGAGACGACUUCCGGCUAGAGUGACAGAAGCGUCGGAGAGAGUUUGUGAUACUCCCCCUGAAAUCGUGCCGUUGUGACAGAUUGUAGAGUUAUGUUUUGGAUGUUUCUGCCCGAGGUGAUAGAAGUAUUGAGGAGAGCUUGUGAUACUCCCUUCGAAAGUCAACCCGACAACUUUUAAAAUAUUGGUGUAACGAAAGUAUUGGAGAGAGCUUGUGAUACUCCCCUCGAGAAUCAUGUCGUCGCGACAUAUGAAAUGAUUUUUCGGAAUAUUUUGCAAUCUUUCUAUUUUGAUUAUCAAUGAACUAUCUUUUGUCUUUUCUUUGCUAAUCUUCCAUAUAAAUCAUCUUUAAAUUGUAACCUAGGCUUGAAACUAGAUUCACAAGCCGUAACUUAGCCACUCUGGACGUAAGUUAGACUCUGCUAACCCUCGCUUAGCCACUCUGGACGUAAGCUUGGUCGUACGAAUCGUAGUUCAGUCGUCAGUUAAAUUUACGGAUAAUUUAUAUCUUCAAAUUAAUGUAGAGUUACAAAGAAUAGUACAAAUAAACCAAAAAUUAAGAUGCACAAUAUUAUUUAGAAUCCUGGGGUUAGAUCCGCAAUUUAGGACUACAAUUCUAGAUUUGAACCCUGGUGUUUUAGCCAAGCUCCGGCCAUAGCGGUAGAGCGAAUCUCGAUCCUCAUCAAGGCAUUAGCGACAAGAUGGGAUAGGAUCAUUUAGGCCAAAGCGACAAAAUGACCCUUGCUCUAUUAAAACCAUAGCGACAGAAUAGAUUUAAAACCGGGGUAUCAUUGAUUGUAGUCGUAAAUUUAGAAUCUCAGGGUUAGAUUCGUAAAUCGGAGUCGUAAUUUAGAUUCUUAAGUCGCACCUUGGACUUGUAAAUCGUAAACUUGACUUGUAAUCGUAAUUUAGACUUUUUGUCGUAAAUUAGAUUUUGUAAUCAUCACUUAGACUCGUGGGUCGUAAGCUAGAUCUGAGUAACGGGUGUCAUCCAGCUAAAGCGAUGGAUUGAUCUCUAUGAAAUUAUCCUUUGUUGGUUUGCCGUAUUAAUCCUAGAACCGUAACGUAGGCUCGAAACUGGACUCGUAAAUCGUAAUUUAGACACUCUGGCCGUAAACUAGAUUUUGUAACCCCCACUUAGCCACUCUGGACGUAAGUUUGGUUUUGUAUCCCCCACUUAGGCACUCUGGCCGUAAGCUUGGUUGUAAUUAAGAGUCGUAAUUCAGACAAUUCCCAAACCGACUCAGAAUUACAAAAAAUCAUAGGUGUAUUUACUUUUCAUCGUAAUUUAGACUUGUACGUCGUAAAUUAGAUUUUGAAAGAGAACUUAGAUUCGUAAAUAUUUGAAAUCUUAGGGUUUGAUUCGUAAAUAUUCGUGAGUCGUAAUUUAGAUUCUUAAGUCGCAUGUUGACUCGUAAAUCGCAAACUAGACUUGUAAUCGUAAUUUAAACUCUUUGUCGUAAAUUAGAUUUCGUAACUAUCAUUUUGACUCUUGGGUAAAAUAGAUGAUAGAUAAGGUCGAAGCGAUGGAUGUCACCCAGCCGAAGCGAUGAGUGAUUGAUCCGUCUGAAGUGAUGGAUGAUUAUUCUAAAUGUGGCAUACAUAUCGCAUAAUACCUCCACGGGUUAAAGGAGACAUCUACUUAGAAUAAUAUCGUUAUUACAUGGUUGAGAACAAUAGAAGUGACAACCAAAAGAAUAUAUGAGUUCCUUUGAUGUUUGGUUGCCACUGUCGGAUGCAUAGCCUAUCUGGUUACUUUGGCCAAUCCUAUCUUUCUUCUGACAGAUGAUAGUUCCCCACUAUUAGCGUGACACACUCGAUUGUGAGUGUGAGCUGUGUCUUUGGUUGUCAUCACUGUUAUAGGAUUGAGAACGUAGGCUAUGACUUUGGUGGCCACAACUGUUACCAGAAUGAGAGUGUGAGUUAUGACUUUGGUAGCCAUAACUGCUACUGGAUUUAGGGUGUGAGCUAUGACUUUGGUAGCCAUAACUGCUACCCGGAGACUUCUCGCUGUAUCGAAGAAGAUUAGUCGAGGUUUCGGAUUGAGAACUUGUAUCCUCGUAUGUAUCUUCUUUAGCAUAGCGAGGUUUCUUCCGGCUGGACGGCUCGAGUUCGUCUAGCUUGUCAUUGUCCUCCUCUUCUAUCUCAAUAUACGAUUGAGCUCGUUGGAAGAGGUUGGGCAGGGUCUCCACUUUAUGGAGCAUUAGAUUCUGAGCCAAAGGGGAGAAGGGUACCAACCCUCUCACGUAUCCUGCUAUGGCCAGACUUGGGAUUAGGUCGUUCACUUCUGUCAUCAUCGAAGUGAACUUAAUCGUGUAAUCCUUCAGAGACAAUUUGUUCUGUCGUAGUGCCAGUAGUGUGUUGGCACUGUGUUUUAUUCUGAUCAUCCCCACAUGUUGGGCGAUGAACUUGGAAGAGAGGUUCGCGAAGCUGGAGACUGAGCCAGCCGGCAGACCGGAAAACCAUUGAUAUGCGUUGCCUUUCAGAGUGCCAGGGAAGGCCAGACACAACAACCCAUUAUCGGUAGUUUGCGGCUCCAAGAUAUUCAGGUAGAGGUUAACAUGAUCCUCUGGAUCUGUCGUUCCAUCGUACAAGUCUAUCUUCGGACACCGCCAAGAUUGCGGAAAAGGUUUUCUCAGGAGGUCCCUAUGAAAGGGUGCCCUUCCUAUUCUGAGAAAAUCAUGUGGGUCCCUUAUAUCAUGCUUGUCUUUACGAAGCACUUCCUUGAUUACCCUAUUCAUGAGUGUGGCAUCGUAAUCCGUACUAGUCGUGGAACUCGAAGGUAUACCCGAGUGAUAUAUUGCGGACCUGUGGUGAGAACUGAGAUGUUGUGUCUCUUUGUUUCACCGUGGUUGUCUCCCGUAGGAGAGUGAUGCGAGUUGGAUUUGGGUUGCCCUGAGAUUGCAGGACUCUUUCCCUUGAGCUCUCAAAGCUCCUUGGAUAUCCUUGAUUCGGACCAAUGAUGUGUACUUAAGUUUGUCUUCCUCAAAUGUGGGUUAGACUUGCUUGUCGUACAUCGUAUGGUGGUCCGGCUCAUUGAAGCCUCUAGGUUGGUUAUCCUUUUGUCCAACUUCAACAUGAGAGCAUGCAUGUGCGCAAGCCUCUCCUGUGUUGUCGGAGUUGGGUUCACACCCCCAUUUAGUGGGAGUGGUGAGGACACCUCAUGUGUAGGUGAUGGUGCAUUAGAGGUUGGUACAGUACGAGGACCAACCCUUCUGCUAGAAGCUCUUACCGCAGUAGCAGUGGCAAGAGCUUUCUUCUGACCCUUAGCAACAGGAUCCAUAAAUAGCAGGGAUAGUUGCUUCUACCGGGCUGAAGCAACGGGCAACGAGUAAAAGUUUUUCCGAAGUGUCGGAAGCUAUGGGUAGGUACCUGCCCCCCCCAGGUAUCACAAAACAGAAAAUUUUUGUAUGAUAUUUCUUUGCAGUUUUGUGACCCCCUUGAGGAGUACUACUAGUUCCCAAAGUUUGAAAUUAGCAAAAAAUGUCGCAAAUUUUUUGCAAUUUUUCGGCAGAAAAUCGUGCCGCCGGAGGUGAUUUCUGGGAUGCCUGUUUAGACCUAUCCCAGAAAAGAUUUCUGCCACUCUUUGGAAAUCGUAGAGAAAACUUUUUUCACGUAAUAUGUGGUCUCAGAACCUCAAAAUCGGAUCUGGGAAUUCCGGAGGUGGACCGACGAAAUCACUGGAAGUGAAAAAAGGCGAAAAACCCAAUAUUUUUUUUUUACCGAAACGACGAGGCGAAUCCAACCGUGACAAUGGAUUUUCGUUUCGGUCAAAAAGCUGGGCUAUGAGUGGUCUUAUUCAGCCAAAGCGAUGAAUGAAGACGAUGAUCGAAUGGACGAGUUUGCCCGUAAAUAGGCGAGUUUGCCCUUAAAUAGGUGAGUUUGCCCCCAAAUAGGCGAUUUUUGCUUGGGAAAAAUCCAACCUAUGCGAAGACGUAAGUUCCGAAGCAAAGGAUGACUUGACCGAGCUUGUUCAAAAAACAAAGAAAUUAAGAAUCGGCGAUUUAGGGAUCUAAAUCGGCGACUUUGACUUUGGGAGUUUUUGAACAGAGUCGUGGACAGUACUCUUAGCUUAGCAGACGAUAUUCCGGAUCGGGCGAUUCUCAAGGCUAAGUCGGCUAUUUAAGAAUAAAUCGGACCUGAGCCGAGAAUCGGCUAUCGAUCUAAAUCGGCGACUUAGUUGACAAAGUCGACGAACCCUCCGAGAGAGCUCGAGCCGGACUUUGCAAAAAAAAUCGUGAUUACGACGGGAUACCAGUGGUUCGGUAGUCCCACAGACGGCGCCAGCUGAUGAAGCACUGAAUCUGCUACCAGGGCUCGCGCUGGUGCGAGGUGAUGUCGGAGGCUCUGGAGUCCACGACGUGUGCUCUACGUCAAAUACCUGCAAGUAGAAACUAGGCGAUUCUAGUGAGAAUCGACGAGUUUCUUAGUAAUGCUCUGGUGAGAGUGGAACUUGUGUUGUGCCUUUGAGUGUCCCCUUGGGACCCUUUUUAUAGGGUCUCGGAGGGCGUGAUCAAAGGCGGACAUCGCGCCUAUGGUCAUAUAUGGAAACAUUUAUGACGUUGGCUGGCGGCGAGUAACGGUCGUAAGUCGGCGAUUCAGGUAUGAAAAUCGCCUAUUUAGGGCAAACUCGCCGAGUUUCCAGGGGCGAGAUGUGCAGUCUACCAUACUGCCGAUCUGGGCCCUAACUCGGCGAUUUGUCCCUAAAGUCGGCGACUUGGUAGUCCAAUCGUGACUUACGAGCUAACUCGGCGAUUUGGACGAUGAACUUGUUCCGCACCGUGGGAGCUCUCUGGGGGUCCGGCGUAAAGCGACGGAACCCUAGUCCUUGUUGGGAGUGACUGCCGUAAUCAGGCAUGUCUCACCAGGAGAGAAGACGUUACACUUGACACUUGUAUUACAUUAGAGAGAGAAAGAUGUUAAACCUUAAUCCAAUCUUGUAAAUUCAUCUUCGGCCUAUACACUACCAGUAAACUUUAUCACAUAGGAGUUUAUUUGGAUACUCCAAAUGGGUGUAUUUUAAGGGUUAUCCCUAGGGCUGUAAAUGGGUCGGGUCUGAGACUGAUUUACAACCCAUUUACAGCCCUAGGUAUCCCUAAAAUAAAAUAAAUCUAAAAUUUUAUCUUGUCGAUAACCCUAGUAUUCCAAAAUUUCAGCUGUUCUUAGUUUAUCCCGCUGUUCAAUUAAUCCUCUAUCGCGAGUGAGUGAUUCAUCUUCAUAUUGAAAGGAUGGUAUAUUGUUUUGACUUUUUUACAUCACAAUGUAUUGAUUUAUUUCUACGGUCGAUUAAUUUUAGAAAUCUGGUUUGUUUCAUUCUAUAAUUUUAAUCAUUUCAGUAUAAUGAUAUGGUCAAUGGGUUUGAGUUCGCACCCACCUCCAUGUGGACAGGGGCUUAUCCGGGGGGCAACCCUAAAAGUUGGAAAAAAUUGAGGAUUUAUAUGUAAUAAUUUUUUUAUAUAGGAUUAAAUAUAAUUUUUACAAUAUAUUAAUAUUUUUCAAGGAUUAAUAUAUAAAUUUCACAAUACUCUCUCCCCUUUCUCCUCUCACGUUUCACAAAUCCUAAUCUUCUCCGGGAAUCUCUCCCCCUACUCUUCUCCCCCAAAACUCUAAUCUUCUCCGGCCUCCGGGAAUCUCUUCUUAGAUUCUUCACUGUUGUUUCUGCCUUGCUGGAAAUCUCUUCUCCAGUUAUCUCUCCGUUGCUACUUGCUGGAAUCUCUCAUUUCUCUGGUAUUUAUUUUUUGAUCUUGUUUGUUGUUUCUACGUAUUAUUUGGGUCUGAUGGAUAUGAUACGAUGGUGAUGGUCUGAUGGAUUUUAUUGAUGUUUGAUUUAGUUAGUUGAUUAGUCGUCAUACGAAGUUAGGUUCUCCGGUCUGCAUAUGAAGUUAGAACUCACAUGUUAAUGUUCUGUUUUUGAAAAAGAAAAGCACAUUAAGAGUUUUCUUUUCAUCUUCGCACAUAUAUUCAAGUUUGGGAAUGUUGAAAAUUGACAGCGGUAUUGUUCCUGAUAGAUUGUUGAAACUCAAAUUCCUAAAAAAUUCCAAGGAUGUGAAUUUAAUGAUUUUAUAUUGAUGAAUUGUGCUGUUAAACAAAUGGAGAGUAUAAAAAAAAUAAAACUUAAAGAUAUGCCAAAUUUUCAAAUUCCCCAAUGCUGGAUCCUGGAUGGAAUCGGACCAGCUAUUCUAGCGUUUCUUAAAAUCCUAUUAUCAUUCAAACACAGCUAAAAUAUAAGUAUUAUGUAAAUAAAAAAAAUAUAAAUAGAUAGAUCAUAUAUAGAUGAAUCUUUCUUAAUGGUUUAGACUUUAGGGUUAAUGUAUUGGAUAUUCCUAAAUCAAUUUGAAUAUUAAUUAAUGUAUUGAAUAUUAAUUAUGGAAUGAAUGUAUUGAAUUUUUAUAGAUUUUUAUAAUCUAUUUCAAGCUUUUUCAUGCGACCAUGUGCUGGAGUGGGUUACGCGGAUCCGGGUCGGAUCCGUCUAACCCAAAAACCCAUUUACCCUAACCUUAAAAUAAUAAAAGUCUAUCUAUCUAUUGGGAAAAUCCAUCCUGCAGUAACCCUCGCCCUCCGCCCCCUUCUCGUUCUUCUUUCCCGUUCUUCUUUCUCGUUCUUCUAUAAUAUGAUAUUUUAUUAAUAGUUACUAUAAUAUGAUAUUUUAUUAAUAGUUACUAUAAUGUAAUAUUUUAUUAAUAGGUACUAUAAUGUAAUAUUUUAUUAAUAGGUACUAUAAUGUAAUAUUUUAUUAAUAGGUACUAUAAUGGAAUGUUUUAUUAAUAGGUACUAUAAUGUAAUAUUCUAUUAAUAGUUUUAUUAAACUAGAUGUAUAUAUUUUUUAAUACAUGAUUAUUAAUAGUAUUUUGUUUAGGUACCCAUAUUUUCAGGCGACCGCCUAGGCGGCCAUGCGGUCAUGGCCAUCGCAUGAACGCCUGAAAAAGCUUGAUCUAUUUUAUGAAUAGGUAGUGCCAAAAUUUUUAUAGGUUUUUAAAUUAGUACAAAAAAAAUUUCCCGCCUUCGGCAAUUCUUACCCCCCUGUCGGGCAAUCCUGGACACGCCACUAUAUGUGGAUCCGCCAAUGUUCUCAUUUCUUCACUACCUUAUUGAUUUUGUUUAUUAAUUUCAUAUUUCCCCUCCUUUCUAUCUAUCCUUCUACAGACCUCUUUCAGAAUUUGUUCUUCUUGCACAAUCUGUAACUACUAACUACGAACUGUGAGAUCUGGGAUUUGACAUCCAAAAAUUCCCAUUUUAAUUUCUUAGGUUUUUUCCUAUCCAAAUUAUCUGUCAACUGUCAGAUGAUUUUAUGCAAACACUUUCUAAUAUUUGCUUGUCGACAUCCUAUUUUGGGUUUGUAGCUUGAUUAAAUUUUCAUUUUUUAUCGUGUAAUCUAUAAUGUAUUACUCUCGGUAAUCAAGCUUAUCGACUUCAGCUCUGAUUUUUUGUUUCAUGUCUGCAGUUAUUUUAAGACCAAGCCACUGUCUUCAAUAACACGCUAAAAAAGCAUGGCCUCCCGUUUCUGGACUCAGGUAAUCACUGCUUGUGUUUUUUCCCCAAAGAAAAUACUAAAAUAGUGCUCCCUUCUUGGUACCCUUUAUUUUGAAGACUUAUUUAUUUCUCUUGUGAUGAAUUACCAGGGUGGUAGUGACACCGAUGAAGACGAAAGUGAGUAUGAAAUUGAUUCAGAGGAUGAGGUCGAGCCAAGUUCUGGUGCAAAACCAGCAAACCGUUAUCUGGAGGAAAAUGCCAGUGAUAGCGAUGACUCUGAUGGCCACAAACGUGUGGUGCGCUCUGCCAGAGACAAGCGCUUUGAUGAAAUGUUAGCUACUGUAGAUCAGAUACGGAAUGCCAUGAAGAUCAAUGAUUGGGUAAGCCUGCAAGAGAGCUUCGACAAAAUUAACAAACAGCUAGAGAAGGUCAUUCGGGUGAUGAAAACCGACACGGUCCCCAAUCUUUACCUCAAGGCUCUAAUCAUAUUAGAAGAUUUUCUUGUCGAGUCCCUGGCAAAUAAGGAUGCCAAGAAGAAGAUGAGCAGUAGCAAUGCCAAGGCAUUGAACUCAAUGAAGCAGAAACUAAAGAAGAAUAACAAGCAGUAUGAGGAGGCGAUUACAAACUACAGACAGAAACCCGAAACUGAGAGUGAAUCGGAGAGUGAUGCUAACGACUCUGAAUCAGUUUCAGAAUUUGAGGAAGAUCCAACAGCAGCUGCACCCUCCGAUGAGGACAACGUCGAUGACCAGGAUCAAAAUGAUAAGGGUUGGGAGCGACAGAUGAACAAAAAAGACAAACUUAUGGACAAGCAGUUCAUGAAGGACCCAAGUGAGAUCACAUGGGAAAUAGUUGACAAGAAGUUUAAAGAGAUUGUGGCUGCAAGAGGUAAAAAGGGAACCAGCAGAGCUGAGCAAGUUGAGCAGCUUACAUUUUUGACUCGAGUUGCAAAAACGCCUGCUCAGAAGCUUGAAAUCUUGUUCAGUGUGAUAUCUUCCCAGUUUGAUAUCAAUCUGAGUAUUAGUGGUCACAUGCCUAUAAAUAUUUGGAAAAAGUGCUUAGACAAUUUCCUAGGUGCGUUAGACAUCCUUGAGCAGAAUCCAAACAUAGUGGUUGAUCAAUCUGCCGAGCCUGAAGAUAAGGAAUCACAUAAAGAUUCAGAUUAUGAAGGAACCAUCCAUAUCUCAGGGAGCUUAGUAGCUUUGCUUGACCGGCUAGAUACUGAAUUUUACAAGAGCUUGCAAUGCAUUGAUCCCCAUACCAAGGAGUAUGUUGAUAGACUUAGAGAUGAGCCUAUGUUUUCUCUUCUUGCCCAAAAUGUUCAAAGAUAUUUGGAAAAAAUGGGUGAUCUUAAAGGAGCUUCCAAAGUGGCUUUGAGACAGGUUGAGCUUAUAUAUUAUAAGCCUCAGGAAGUUUAUGACUCGAUGAGAAAGCUAGCAGAACAUGAAGCUCUUGACAGAGAACUUGGUGGAGAUGAGAAUCAAAAUGCCGAAGAAAUCAAAGGACCUUCUGCAUUUAUUGUUAUCCCAAAAGUUGUUCCACGGAGUCCUACGUUCCCAGAAAGUAGCCGAGCAUUGAUGGAUAGAUUGGUUUCCCUUAUAUACAAGAGUGGUGAUGAAAGGACAAAGGCUCGAACAAUGCNNNNNNNNNNNNNNNNNNNNNNNNNNNNNNNNNNNNNNNNNNNNNNNNNNNNNNNNNNNNNNNNNNNNNNNNNNNNNNNNNNNNNNNNNNNNNNNNNNNNAUCUUUUACUGAUGAGUCAUCUCCAGGAAGGAGUCCAACAUAUGGACAUAUUGACACAAAUGCUGUUCAAUAGGGUGAUGGCUCAACUUGGUCUCUGUGCUUUUAGAGCUGGCCUUACUAAAGAAGCUCACGGAUGCCUUUCUGAACUCUAUUCAGGUGGAUACAAUUUGCAGCACACCUAGCGGGGAAUAAGCUAGAUCACUACCUCACUGGGAAGGUUGUGCUGAACACUGCAGUAACGAUAAGGCAAGACAAAUUGAUUUUAGUCUGGAUUAUAUCGUCACUGACCGCACCAAUUCUAUCGGUGGUAGCAAAUUGUGCAACUGCAUAAGAGGCUUGGAAGAGGUUACAGAUGGAGUUUGCAUCCAGCUCAAGGUCAAGAGUCCUUAGCAUACGCCAAAAGCUCCAAAGUUUGAAAAUUGGAGGGAGAUCCAUAACAUAAUAUUUGCAGGAAAUCGAUGGACUGUUAGAAACAUUAUCUGUGGCAGGGGAGGUAAUUACAGAUGCUGAUGUUAUUUUACUAGUUUUGGCAGGGCUUGGAGAUGAAUUUGAGGCCACAAUUCAGAAUGUGACCACAAGGAGAGUGGAGAUCUCGUAUAGAGAGUUAAAAGCAAUCCUAACUGAUGUUGAAAUCAGGAGAGGAAGAACUAAUACAACUUCUGCCCUUAGCGCGAACAUUGUUGAAGCUGAAAACCCUAAGAAGACAGGUAAGAGUUUUUACAAAACAGUACUUUGUCAAAUCUGUUCAGGAAAAGGGCAUGGAGCAUUCAAUUGCUACAACAAAUUGAAUAUCACUAAGUUUUCUCCAACACAUGGGAGAAAACUCGAUUCAGAUGGUCUGGCCAACAAGAUGUCAGCCAAUAUUGUGCAGAAAUCAACAUCAGUUUGGUACCCUGAGGCAGGUAUGAUUGAGGAAAUGUCUGUGAAUGUUAUGUAUGAGAACUGUGAAAAUGCAGGGCAAGAGAACACUGAGAAUUCAGUGAAUAUGGUGUCAAAUGCAAGGGCUUGGUUUGCUGAUUCUGGCUCAACAAACCACAUUACAGACAGAAAGGCAGAUAUUCAAGAUGGGUUGGAUUGUGAGAAUUCCAUCAACACUGCCGAUGGACAUCCUAUGAGGAUUGUUCACUCUGGUAAUUCUUUUAUUUCUAUCAAUAAAAGAAAGUUUUUUAUGAACCAGAUUUUAUGUGUACCUUUGCAUCAAAGAAUCUGAUUUCAGUAAAGAGAUUGUGUGCUGACAAUCAAGUGACUAUGGAAUUUGAUCCACAGAGGCUGUUAGUCAAGGAUAUCAACACUGAAGAAGUUCUGAUGAUUGGGAAGGAAAGUGGAGGACUAUAUCAAUUACCUAUACCUAUAGGAGGUUCAGGGAUGCAAAUUAAUCAAAUGGAGUUGGGGAUGAAAGCCACUGCUAGAGUGUGGCACUUGAGAUUGGGGCACCUACUCUCGAGGGCUAUGAAGCAACUCAACAAUCAGAAUUUAAUUAGAGUUUCAGAUACAAAUGAUAUCAAAAAUUUAUGUAAGGAAUGUUGUAUGGCAAAAACUAAGAGACUGAAACAUAAUAAAAGUACCUCAGUUUAUACUACUCCACUUGAACUUAUUUUUGCUGAUGUGUGGGGUCCUGCCCCGACUGAAUCCACAGAAGGAUAUAGGUAUUAUAUAAAUUUUGUGGAUAUUUCAACUAGCUACAAUUGGAUUUUCUUGAUGAGAAGAAAAUCUGAAGUUGAAGAAUGUUUUUUACAAUUCAAAUGCAUGAUUGAAAAACAGUAUGACAGGAAUAUAAAAGCUCUCCAAACUGAUAAUGCUAAAGAGUUUUUAAAACUGUCAAAAUUGUUAGGGAGUAAUGGAAUAAUACAUCGUCUUAGCUGUCCACACACUCACCCUCAGAUGACGAAGGUAGAGCACAGACACAAACAUAUAGUAGACACGGGGCUGGCUAUGUUGAAGCGUGCAGGGUUGGAAACACACUUCUGGGACUAUGCAUUCAUGGCAUAUGUCUAUCUUUAUAACAGAAACCCCACUGAAAUAUUAAAAGGUAUAUCACCUUAUCAAGCUUUACACCUCAAGUCCCUAGAUUAUUAUAAGUUGAAAAUAUUCGGAGCAGUGUGUUAUCCCAAUCUCAGACCAUAUAGGGAAAACAAAUUGAGUGACAAAUCAGCACCCUAUGUUUUUCUAGGAUAUCCAGUCAAUUGUGGUGGGUAUAUAUGCAUGGAUAUGAGGAAUGGGAAGACAUUGAUUUCCAGAGAUGUAAUCUUUGAAGAAAAUAAAUUUCAGUCAAAGAAAACAAUUAUUUCUCAGUCUCCAACGCAAUCAGUUCAGACAGAGGAGAGUGAGUCAGAUGAGGGUGAAGAAGAGUAUGAACAGAACAGAAUAAACGACAAUUCAGAACAGGAAGUGGCAGAUAUUUCAGAACAUGCAGUGGCUUCUGAAUCUACUACACAGUCUGGACUUCCUAUCACUUCUACUACAGAUGAGUUACCACUUACCACUAAUUCAGUACUGUAGAAGAGCACCUGUUGCAGUGGAAAAUAAUAUGGAUGAAAGAUCUGAUGACUCUGGAUCGAGCUCUGAAGAAGAGUAUAAUCCAAAGAUAGCAGAAAAUCCAGUGACAAAACACAUACCUAUCACUAGAGCAUCUAGGAGAAUAGUCAAGAAAAUUCAGAGAUAUGCUUGCAAUAUAUCUCCCACACCAAAACAAACCCCAGUGAAAUAUGCCUUGCAAGACCCUGAAUGGAAGACAGCAAUGCAGGAGGAAUACAAUGCUCUUGUGAGGAAUGGGAGUUGGGAACUCAUCCCAAGGAAUCCAGUGGAUAAUAUAAUCAACAGUAGAUGGCUGUUCAAAGUGAAAGAAAGGUCAGAUGGGACAGUAGAGAGGUUGAAAGCAAGAUUGGUGGCCAAUGGCACCAAUCAAGUAGAAGGACUGGAUUAUAAUGAGACAUUCAGCCCUGUUGUCAAGCACAAAACAAUCAGAAUAGUGCUUACAUUGGCUAUUUGGCUGUAUCUAAAAGUUGGUCACUUCAACAGGUGGAUAUAAGCAAUGCAUUUUUGCAUGGACAGUUAGAUGAAAGGAUUGUCAUGAGGCAGCCCAUGGGAUUUCUUGAUGAAGAAAGACCCACACAUGUGUGUCUACUGAAGAAGGCUCAGUAUGGAUUAAAACAGGCCUCAAGGAUGUGGUUUCGUAGAUUGAAACAAUUUUUGUAUCUAAAAGGCUUUGUGGCAAGCAGUAUCUGAUGAGUCACUGUUUAUAAAAUUUGGAGAGGAAGUCAUCUACAUACUUGUAUUUGUAGAUGACAUGGUCAUUACAGGCUCAAGUACUAAAGGCAUAGAAGUAUUUUUGAAUGAAUUAAAAUCUGAAUUUGCUGUGAGAUUGUGUGGAAACUUGGAGUACUUUUUGGGUAUCAGAGUUAGGAAGCACUUUAAUGGUUUAUUCUUGGACCAACAGUUAUACUUGGUGAAUUUCCUUAAUAAGCAUGGGUACGAAAACCUAAAACCCAUUGCUACACCUAUGCAACCUAAUACUGAUUUUUACUCAGAGGCAGAACAAAUUCAGAACUCUACUGAAUAUAGGCAGUUGGUGGGUUCACUGCAGUAUCUUACUACCACAAGGGCGGAUAUUUCUUAUGCAGUGAACAAGUUAGCUCAGUUCAUGGAGAAACCCAAAGAAAUACAUUGGCAGAUGUUAAAAAGAAUUCUGAGAUACCUAUCUGGUACACACAGCAUGGGGAUUGUGCUCAGAAAAACUUGUUCCAAUGAGAUUACAGCAUAUAGUGAUGCAGAUUGGGCAUCUGAUUCAACUGACAGAAAAAGCCAGAUUGGGCACCUCUUAUAUAUGGGUGAAUCACUAAUAGUUUGGUGUUCUCAAAAACAAUCUGCGGUGUCUAGGUCCAGCACUGAGUCAGAAUUCAGGGCAAUCACAGCUGCCACUGCAGAAGUUGAAUGGGUAUCUAAUUUGCUGAUAGAGAUGGGAGUAAAAGUAGAUACACCACAUAAACUGUGGUGUGACAACUUGGGAGCAACUCAACUGGCUGCAAACCCUGUGUUCCACACUAAAAUCAAGCAUGCUGCAAUUGAUUUCAAUUUUGUACAGGAGAGGAUGGAGAAGAAGGUUAUUCAAGUAAUUCACAUUCCAAAUACCAUGCAACGAGCUGAUACACUAACUAAGGCAUUAAAGCCGGCAUCAUUCAUGGAGCUAAGAGCCAACCUCAUCGGCUACCACAGAUGAGCUUGAGGGGGACUAUUAGUGAUAUUAAAUAAAGCUAUUUGUUUUCAUUUGCUUGUAAUUACAAAUUAGACCUUAUAAUACUAAAUACUAAUUGUAAUUAGUUAGUAUAAAUUAGUUCUUAACUGAAUUCAGUUAAGAUCUAAUAUUGAACUCAAGUGUAUAUAAACACAUCCAAUAUAUGUUUAGAGGGAUCAAUCACUUGAUUCCCACAUUUCCUAUCUUUCCAGUUUCACUCAUAAUUACCCACUGAAAAUCCAUUCUUCAUUAUUUCUCUCAUAGUCUAAUGUUCAUUUUAUUAUAAUUAUUUUCAUUUACUAUUUAUCAAUUGACUGUCUAUGCUAAUUGACUAUGGCCGUUCUUUGUCUAUUUAUUUGGAUGUCUUUUAUUAUAAAAAAAUACAGUGUGAUAAUUAGAUUUUUAUAUGUGAUUGCUGCUGUUAUUGUAAAUACAAUUGCCUUGUUUUCUUGUGUAAUCAUGAUGCAUUCAUUUGCAUAUUGAAUGUUUUCGUAGUGCAUCUUUUUAUGUUGUAAGAUAUGGAUUUAUUUGGGUUUGUUUUGUUUUUUGCAGGAAAAAAUCGAGAGGAUGAGACAAAUGCCCUACCAUAUGCACAUAAAUCUUGAGCUUCUAGAAGCAGUCCAUUUAAUUUGUGCUAUGCUCCUUGAGGUUCCCAACAUGGCUCUAAACUCAAAUGAUGUUAGACAGAAAGUGAUGAAUAAGAAUUUCCGUAGACUCCUUGAUAUUAGUGAACGACAGACUUUUGGAGGACCUCCUGAAAAUGUCAGAGACCAUAUAAUGGCUGCGGCAAAAGCUCUUAGAAAGGGAGAUUUUGAGAAGACCUUUGAUUUCAUCAGCUCCCUUGAUACAUGGAAGCUUUUGAAGAACAAAGAAAGUGUUCUGGCAAUGUUGAAAUCCAAGAUCAAAGAAGAAGCUUUAAGGACAUAUUUAAUUUCCAAUGCGUGUAGCUACGUGUCGUUGAGUUUGGAUCAUCUCAUUCUUAUGUUUGGUCUUUCUAACACACAAGUUCACAGCAUUGUGAGUAAGAUGAUGAUCACAGAGGAAUUGCAAGCAAGCUGGGACCAACCUGCAAAGUGUAUAAUAUUCCAUAGUAUGGAGCAAACAAGAGUGCAGACCCUCGCUUUCCAGCUUUCAGACAAACUCAUCGUUCUUGCUGAUAGCAAUGAAAGAGCAUAUGAGGUCCGAACAGGUGGUAGUUUGGAUGGGCUUCCUUCAAGACGGCG